rnacentral:lncRNA from 1 species
CCGCCGCGCCGGCCUUAACAGCGCAUUUUCACCAGCCCCGCCCCGGCCGCGCGCGGCACUGGAAACCCCAGCGCCUUCUGGACGGCGAGGGUGACGCACUGGCCCUCUUCCUCGGUGUCCUCAGGUGCGUGGCGGCGGCAGUGAGAAUGAGUUCUUCGAGAUCGCCGGGAGACCACACAAUAACGACGAAGUUACUUGCCGGGCUACCCGCCGAGACUUGAAAACUUCGCGGCGACUUCUCUCGCCGGCCUUAGCAUCGCCCCCAUUUUUCAGGUUACAGGACAGGCCUGCAACUGCAAAACGCUUUGUAAACCACAGGGCCCCGCGCGGGUGUGCGCCACUGGGUUAGCUGAGCUGCAGCCCGGGCCGGGCGGGCUGGGACGUGAGCAAGCCGGGGGAGACGGGAGAGCCAUGGGGAG